rnacentral:tRNA from 1 species
GGGCCAGUAGCUCAGUUGGUUAGAGCAGGGGACUCAUAAUCCCUUGGUCGCAGGUUCGAGUCCUGCCUGGCCCA